AUUGAACGCUGGCGGCAUGCCUUACACAUGCAAGUCGAACGGCAGCGCGGGGCAACCUGGCGGCGAGUGGCGAACGGGUGAGUAAUAUAUCGGAACGUGCCCUGGAGUGGGGGAUAACGCAGCGAAAGUUGCGCUAAUACCGCAUACGAUCUAAGGAUGAAAGCAGGGGACCGCAAGGCCUUGUGCUCCUGGAGCGGCCGAUAUCUGAUUAGCAGUUGGUGGGGUAAAGGCCUACCAAGCAUCGAUCAGUAGCUGGUCUGAGAGGACGACCAGCCACACUGGAACUGAGACACGGUCCAGACUCCUACGGGAGGCAGCAGUGGGGGAAUUUUGGACAAUGGGCGCAAGCCUGAUCCAGCAAUGCCGCGUGAGUGAAGAA
rnacentral:rRNA from 1 species